rnacentral:sRNA from 1 species
GCUGGGUGUGGUGGCUCACACCUGUAAUCCUAGUACUCUGGGAGGCCGAGGCAGGAGGAUUGCUUGAGGUCAGGAGUUCGAGACCAGCCUGAGCAAGAUAGAGACUUCGUCUCUACUAAAAAUAAAAAAACUUACUGGGCAUGGUGGUGAGCACCUGUAGUCCCAGCUACUCAGGAGCCUGAGACAGGAGAAUCACUUGAGGCCAGGAGUUCGAGUUUACAGUAAGUUAUGAUGUCACUGCACUCCAGCCUGGGCAACAGAGCGAGACCCUGUCUCU